rfam:Pseudomonas cichorii JBC1, complete genome.
UUGACUUGCAAAUGAUAAUGAUUAUUAUUGCAUCAGCUGGUCGCGAGACUGGCGGAUAACCCAGGAGUCUUAGGUCGACUCCCGGAUUAUCUCCUCAUCAGGCUAAUCACGGUUUUUGACCCGGCUUUUUGCCGGGUCUUUUUUUU